GAUGAACGCUGGCGGCGUGCUUAACACAUGCAAGUCGAACGGAAAGGCCCAAGCUUGCUUGGGUACUCGAGUGGCGAACGGGUGAGUAACACGUGGGUGAUCUGCCCCGCACUUCGGGAUAAGCCUGGGAAACUGGGUCUAAUACCGGAUAGGACAGUGGUUUGGAUGCCAUUGUGGAAAGUUUUUUCGGUGUGGGAUGAGCUCGCGGCCUAUCAGCUUGUUGGUGGGGUAAUGGCCUACCAAGGCGUCGGCGGGUAGCCGGCCUGAGAGGGUGUACGGCCACAUUGGGACUGAGAUACGGCCCAGACUCCGACGGGAGGCAGCAGUGGGGAAUAUUGCACAAUGGGCGCAAGCCUGAUGCAGCGACGCCGCGUGGGGGAUGACGGCCUUCGGGUUGUAAACUCCUUUCGCUAGGGACGAAGCGUUAUGUGACGGUACCUAGAGAAGAAGCACCGGCUAACUACGUG
rnacentral:rRNA from 1 species